UCUGUGAGGAUGCUGGAGUCUCCUUAACCUCUUGUUAUUUGAGUUACUCUAUUCGAGAUUUCCCCCUACUUGGUUUGUCGGUCUCUGUUUGUUCGUGUCUCGUCACACUCGGUUGAAAACCGGAGUUACAGAACAGCCGUCAAUGGGGAAGUUGGGUUCUUCUUCGGUUUUGCUCAGCUUAUUUUCCUUUCAAUUAUUGGAUCAUUUGUAUCUCUCAAUUGUUGUCCUGCUUUGUGUAUCGGUUGUGUCGAUAGGCUCUGCUCUUUGUGUUUUUGUUUGCUUGUUGUUUGGUAGUCUUGGAGAUGAUUGAGUAAGGGAUUUUGGUCAUGGUUGGUGGCAUUCAACCAUGGAUGAAGUUUGGUCCCAACCUCGACCAAGUUAUGAAGAAAUGCUCAACCCUUCUUCUUGCCCUCAAGGUGUUUGUGAAAAUUCCUCUUCCAAGUUUUUUUUGUCUAUUGAUCUUCAGUCUCAAUUCGGUUCAGCUUCUAAGAUUGGAAAAGUAUUUUGAGUUUCAUUUUCCAAGAAAGAAACAUCUGAUUUGGUUUUUGAUUUCAACUUUGCCCUUGUUGGGAAGUUCUCCCAUGGCUAUUGGUCGUGGAAAGAGCUCUUAGCUUCCUUCGAUAACCUCACAUCGUCCGGAUAUUGCUGGCAAGGAAUUUUUCAAACAAGAUUAUGCCAUCUUUUUCUUCCAACGGACGGAACUUUGAAAUUCAGCUUGAGAUAUCAAAAAUAAGUUCCCACUAGGUACUGUAACUGUUGGAGUACCCAUGUUAGUACAAGUUGCUUGCCAUGCUGAUAAAAAUGGCUGUAUUUUGUUUGGUAAUCAGAAGUCCACCCAUCAAUUCUUAGUUUGGUGUAGAUUGGAACACGUGUACUUUUUCUUUCCCGGAGCUUGGAGAAACGUGUUCUCGGCGAAGCAAUAAUAUUGGCUUGGCAAAGUAUUUGUCACAGUUGUUACGGUCCCUAAGACCCCACUUAUACACCCUAAGAAUGCCGGAGAGAAGAUCCUUGGUGAGGUACUCGUUGGAAAUAACAUUGAAUGGAUAUACCAACAUCCGGUUUGCCGCCCUUGAUUUCUUGCCUUUGUGAUUCUGCAAUUGACGAGCUUGAUCGUACGAAGUAGUUGUUCCUAGCUUUCUUCAAAGAUUGUAUUUUCUGUUGAUGCUGGAUUGAACUUCUUAAGUAUUAUAUUUUUAAUUUGGGGAUCUUGUAUUAGUUAGUUGUUAUGAUGGUUUAGGGCAUGGUUAUAGUUAGUGAUGUUUCAAAGUACCUAUAACGGUUAUAGUUCUACUUUUGUCAUGUCUAUGAACGUCGUUGGAUUGACGUCAUUUUGUAAGACUUGUAAAGUUUUUCGGAUUAUCUAUGUAGAAUUAUGUUUUUAGUUAUUUGUUACGCAGCUGGGUCCGUUACAAAUACGACGUCGAGUGCAUUUUCUUUUGUGGCACUAAAAACUUUAUUUGACACGGAUAUUCCAUUUGUAUUGUAUUUUUUGUUACGGAUAUUUCUCGGAACAAAAGG